rnacentral:rRNA from 1 species
GACGUAGGGGGCCAGCGUUGUUCGGAAUUACUGGGUGUAAAGGGUUCGUAGGCGGUGCGGCAAGUUGGGAGUGAAAUCUCUGGGCUUAACCCAGAGGCUGCUUCCAAAACUGCUGUGCUUGAGUGUGGGAGAGGCGCGUGGAAUUGCAGGUGUAGCGGUGAAAUGCGUAGAUAUCUGCAGGAACACCCGUGGCGAAAGCGGCGCGCUGGACCACUACUGACGCUGAGGUGCGAAAGCGUGGGGAGCAAACAGG